rnacentral:rRNA from 1 species
AUCUAUAGUCAUACCACCCUGAAAGUGCCCAAUCUCAUCUGAUCUUGGAAGUUAAGCAGGGUCAGGCCUCAUUAGUGCUUGGAUGGGAGAAAAUAAUUCUAUAGUCU